rnacentral:rRNA from 1 species
UACGUAGGGGGCAAGCGUUGUCCGGAUUUAUUGGGCGUAAAGAGCGUGUAGGCGGCCAGGUAGGUCGGUUGUGAAGACUGGAGGCUCAACCUUCAGAGGUCGACCGAAACCCCCUGGCUAGAGUCCGGGAGAGGAGAGUGGAAUUCCUGGUGUAGCGGUGAAAUGCGCAGAUAUCAGGAAGAACACCCGUGGCGAAAGCGGCUCUCUGGAACGGUACUGACGCUGAGACGCGAAAGCGUGGGGAGCGAACAGG